GAACCACCUGAUCCCAUCCCGAACUCAGCAGUGAAACGAUGUAUCGCCGAUGGUAGUGUGGGGUUUCCCCAUGUGAGAGUAGGUC
rnacentral:rRNA from 1 species